rnacentral:pre_miRNA from 1 species
UGGCAGUGUGGUUAGCUGGUUGUGAAUGAUGACGACAACCACUAGUCGUACUGCCGCC